rnacentral:lncRNA from 1 species
AGCCAUAGACUGUAUAUAGAAUGGACAGAGUCUGCCUCCUUGCUGGGUGAAGCCACUCCGAGAACAGCACCCUCUGUUGAUGGGCUGCAGUAUAGGUCAUAAAUCCCGCCUCUGCCAGCAAAGCUUAUGGGGCUGUGGACAAACUUUAGAAAUUUAUUACACAGAACAUAAUUUUUUCUCCCCCCUGCUUGUGGUGUUGACAUGUAGUUACAGUAAAACUG